rnacentral:lncRNA from 10 species
GGCGUGCCCGGCGUGCUGUGCGUCCCCUCCGGAAGGACUGGGCGUGCCCGGCGUGCUGUGCGUCUCCUCCGGAAGGACUGGGCGUGCCCGGCGUGCUGUGCGUCCCCUCCGGAAGGACUGGGCGUGCCCGGCGUGCUGUGCGUCUCCUCUGGAAGGACUGGGCGUGCCCGGCGUGCUGUGCGUCCCCUCCGGAAGGACUGGGCAUGCAGUCUGUAGAGUCCGUCCACACGAAGAAGACUCCCAUCCACACCUUCCAGGUGGACCACCUGCUACAUGGAGUUAGAAGCCAGGAAUCACGUGACUGCCCGCCCAAUCGUGACCCAUCACAGGCUCUGUGCACAAGGCGAGUGACCCUGCACUUGAUGGAUCAGCUGGCACCACCCAGACCUGCAAACUGGCUCAUCCGUUGUGGCCCCCACCCAGGAACUGACUCUGCACGAGAAAACAGCUUCGGAUCCCUAUGAUUUCAUCUCUGACCAAACCAAUCAGCACUCUCAACUCACUGGCCUUCCCCGCCCACCAAAUUAUCCUUUACAACUCUGAUCCCCGAAUCCAGAUCAGGGAAUCUGAUCUGAGUCAUAAUAAAACUCCAGUUUCCCACACAGCUGGCUGUGCAUGAACUACUCUUUCUCUAUUGCAAUUUCCCUGUCUUGAUAAAUUGGCUGAGUCCAGGCAACCGGCAAGGUGAACCCACUGGGCGGCUACAUUACCACGGCUCAAGGCGUUGUGCUUGGAGCCUACGUCCAUGGAAGAGGAGGACUCCGUCAUGGAAUUGUGAAUCAUGUCAUUUUCUGGAUCAACAGAGGGUCACACUGACUACGCGGCCCUAUUUUUCCUGGCUUUCUGUCUGUAUUGCUGUCUUAUCAGUUUUAUUUUGUUUUGUUCUGUUUUACUUUGUAUUAUUGUUAUUUGUAUUACAAGAACUUUUCUAAUUAGGAAGUAAAUUCAAUUAAGGAUACUCAAUGAUUUUCUGUAUGUCUCAAAUAGCUGGCAC